rnacentral:rRNA from 1 species
AACGAACGCUGGCGGCAUGCCUAACACAUGCAAGUCGAACGAUGCCUCCGGGCAUAGUGGCGCACGGGUGCGUAACGCGUGGGAAUCUGCCCUUGGGUUCGGAAUAACUCGCCGAAAGGCGAGCUAAUACCGGAUGAUGACGUAAGUCCAAAGAUUUAUCGCCCAAGGAUGAGCCCGCGUAGGAUUAGCUAGUUGGUGGGGUAAAGGCCCACCGAGGCGACGAUCCUUAGCUGGUCUGAGAGUAUGAUCAGCCACACUGGGACUGAGACACGGCCCAGACUCCUACGGGAGGCAGCAGUGGGGAAUAUUGGACAAUGGGCGAAAGCCUGAUCCAGCAAUGCCGCGUGAGUGAUGAAGGCCUUAGGGUUGUAAAGCUCUUUUACCCGGGAUGAUAAUGACAGUACCGGGAGAAUAAGCUCCGGCUAACUCCGUG